rnacentral:rRNA from 1 species
AUUGAACGCUGGCGGCAGGCUUAACACAUGCAAGUCGAGCGGAGCGAGGGUGCUUGCACCUUAGCUUAGCGGCAGACGGGUGAGUAAUGCUUAGGAAUCUGCCUAUUAGUGGGGGACAACAUUCCGAAAGGAAUGCUAAUACCGCAUACGCCCUACGGGGGAAAGCAGGGGAUCUUUGGACCUUGCGCUAAUAGAUGAGCCUAAGUCGGAUUAGCUAGUUGGUGGGGUAAAGGCCUACCAGGGCGACGAUCUGUAGCGGGUCUGAGAGGAUGAUCCGCCACACUGGGACUGAGACACGGCCCAGACUCCUACGGGAGGCAGCAGUGGGGAAUAUUGGACAAUGGGCGGAAGCCUGAUCCAGCCAUGCCGCGUGUGUGAAGAAUGCCUUUUGGUUGUAAAGCACUUUAAGCGAGGAGGAGGCUACUUAGAUUAAUACUCUAGGAUAGUGGACGUUACUCGCAGAAUAAGCACCGGCUAACUCUGUGCCAGCAGCCGCCGUAAUAC